rnacentral:rRNA from 1 species
UACGAAGGGUGCUAGCGUUGUUCGGAAUCACUGGGCGUAAAGGGCGCGUAGGCGGCUUUAUAAGUCGGGGGUGAAAGCCUGUGGCUCAACCACAGAAUUGCCUUCGAUACUGUAGAGCUUGAGACCGGAAGAGGUAAGUGGAACUGCGAGUGUAGAGGUGAAAUUCGUAGAUAUUCGCAAGAACACCAGUGGCGAAGGCGGCUUACUGGUCCGGUUCUGACGCUGAGGCGCGAAAGCGUGGGGAGCAAACAGG